rnacentral:lncRNA from 1 species
ACCGGCGCGAGCGCGCGUGGAGGCGGCACUCGGGAGGCAGCGAUCCGAGCUGCAGGCCCUCAAGGGUCCCUCAGGAGUGCGCGACAGGGGCCGGUGGCUCCCGCGCUAUUGCAGAGUGCUCCGCAUGCUGCCAUGUCCCCAUCAUGGCUGAAGGCAGAGGCAGCAGCACAGAGGAGCCUGGAGACAGGAAGACUGAAGGUCCCCUGGAGUCCCUCUGGAUCCUGCACAGAAAGAGGACACUAGGGGAAGCUGUGUGGAGCUUCCUGGUGCUGCAGAAGGGGCAGACCGGGACAGGACUGGCUCAUCGCGUCCACAGUCCUACAACGGGACCUAGUGUGGCCCAGGCAGAGAAAAGGAAGGGUGCCGCUUCCACCCAGAGCCACCUGCAAGGCCUGCCAGGCAGGGCCUUUCUAACAUGGAGAGCGUGAAGAAGAGCCGGGACAGUGAGCCUGGCACGUCUGGUCAGACAGGAAGAUGACUCCUGAGGAGUUGGCUUUCUGAGCCUUGGAGCUGCUGGUGUGGGACUCUGGUGUUUUUCCUGCCUUCCUGGGCUCCAAGACAUCCUAAGGAGAAAACCCCAUGCUCAGACACUUAGGCAGGACAGUUCCAGGACACUGGGAUUAAGCGGUGGUACCCGGCAGUUUCCUCAGACAGGCCCCCCUCAGGCCUUGGCUCUUACAAUAGACUGCCACUUCUGGGACCCUUGCCUGAGUCUGGCUUCAUCUUUCUGAGGGUUCCCUUCACUGCCCCCUGGUGGCACAUCCAAGAAAGAAGCCCUGCCACUGGACAGGACCCAUCCUCCAGGCUUCCAGCUGUGGACACACUGAGAACCCCUGCCUGUGUCUCCUGCUCUGGAAACCCCCGGCCCUCUGCUCUGCUCUGUUCUCCACAGUUGCUGCCAGCUCUUUACCACCUCCCACCACUGGGAAGGGAAGCUCGGCAACCUUGAAGCACAGGCUGGUCCUCCGGUUGCCACUCUUGUGUGUCUUCUUCGGUUUUGAGACAGGAUCUGAUUUAUAGUCCAGGCUGUCCUCAAAACCACAGGGAUCCGGUCGCCUUUGCCCACCCUCCCCACCCCACAGCGCUCGGAUUAAAGGUGUGUGUCACCA